CAGAUUUGCACGAUUAUGCGUCAGUGGGCCUUCAAGGACGCAGCUCCAUCCGACACAUGCUGACCGAAACUCACGAGGACCUUCAGAGCACAGGCUUGUACAGGGGCACUGACGCCCUGGCUGACCGACGGGAGUACACACUUCUGUUUGUGUUCUUUCGCCCCCUGGUUCUUAAAGGCUCAUUAGACAUCACAUCAGAUAAGGACUUAGACUCAGUGUUGCUCAGCUCAGAUGAUCCUCCGAUAAGGAAACAGAUCGAGAGGUUAAUGAUUUGCCCACCUUCACCCAUCCAUGCCUUCCAAUGUCAAGACAAAAGUUGGGGAAAGGAAGGGGAAGAAUGACGGGCUUUUUGGAGAAGAUCAGUGCUGACCAGCCUUUGAAGGGCGAACAAGAUUUGAAUCAGCAGAGAUGAGGAAAGCCUGGGAAAAGAUAAUGUGCCAGAGAGUGGAGAUGAGUGUCCAGGUGCCUGGGAUUCCCUCUGCCUGGCCUCCCUCUUGUAGUUAGGCCCCCGCUGAUGGACCCUCCGGAAAUGGCUUCUUCCCUCCCUCCUGCCCCAAGGGCGGGUUGGCUGCAAAAGCUGGAUUCCCUUUCUACAGAGGGAAUAGAAAAAUAAAGAAUGUAUUAGUUAUAGAAAUAGCAUUGCACACACCCACCAGAAUGCCUAAAAUGGAAAUGAUGGAAAGUGCAAAGUGAUGCUCUGGGACUCUCGCACACAGCUGAGAGGAAUGUGGAUUUGUACAGCCACUUUGGAGAACUCUUUGACAGUGGCUACUGAAGCCAACCAUACACACCUUAUGGGUGACCAGCAGUUCCACCCUAGGAGUAUACAAGAGUAGACAAGCUCAACAGAGUGAAGUCACCUUUCCCAGAACUGUGAAAUUUCAUAUUCUCUUCCUGUUCCUGUUUGUGGUUCUGGAGAAGUACACACAAUUUCCCAUAAGCAGAGCAGUACGCGGGCCUCUCUGUGUUGUGGCCUCUCCCGUUGCGGAGCACAGACUCCGGACGCGCAGGCUCAACGGCCAUGGCUCAUGGGCCCAGCCGCUCCGCAGCAUGUGGGAUCUUCCCAGACCAGGGCACGAACCCGUGUCGCCUGCAUCGGCAGGCGGACUGUCAACCACUGCACCACCAGGGAAGCCUUGUUAUCUGUGUUCUUUUUGAUGAUAACCAUUCUGGCAGGGCGAGUUCAAGAUGGCUAGUGAAGUGCCGAACACCAGGCUCACCUCUUGAGCAGGAAGGAUGAGGAGGAAAUAACAGAACGUGGGCAAGCAUAGCUGCCUCCCUCUUCAGGAGCCCUCCCCGCUCAACAACUUCUGCUGACAUCCCGUUGACCAGCGCUGGGCCAUACAGUGUGAUGUUUAAUGUUAUGUCACCUUGGCUAGGCCACAGUGUCCAGAUAUUUGGGCAAACACAUCUGGAUGUGGCUAUGAAGGAAUGUUUUAGAUGAGAUUAACACUUAAAUCAGUCGACUUUGAGUAAAGUCAAUCUCCACCAUGUAGGUGGGCCUCAUCCAAUCAGGUGAAGACAGCCUUUAGGAUAAGACUGAGGUCCUCUGAGGAUUUGGCCCACAGGCUAUAGUUUGGAAGCCCCUGUCUUAGGGUAGCAGUGGGCAAGGAGGUAGAAAGAACAGUGCAAGGGGAGAGAAAAAACUGCCAUGAGAGCUAAGGGAAUAUUGGCAAAAGAGGAGCCCUUUAAAUCUGCCAAGGACAGAAAGAAGACAAUUUUUUGUUGGUACUUGACAGCUUACCUGCCUGGGCGAAAAGGGCAGAAAGGUCUGCAUAGCUGGAAAAGUGUCUCGGCCACCUCAGGGUUAGCACCGCAUCCAUCUUGCUGGAUUCUGCAGACCCUGCUGGCCAGAUGCCCAAAUGCAGUCAGCUCACUGUGCCUUGUUCCUUUUGGAAACAGCAGGUGGAGAAAUCUCUCUCUCAGCACCAUGGCAACCAGAUCGCAUUCUCCUCUCACAGAAGAAUCACAAGUGCGCCCCUGCAGACAUUGAUCCAUUUGUGUGCACUGAGCUCCUUUCAAGGCCAGGCCCUGUGCUGAGUGCUUGGAACACAGAGAUGUAUAAACCAAAGUCCCCGAUUUAAAGGAGUCCACAGGCUGGAGCAGGAGACAAGCCUGCGAUGGCAACAGCGUGAUAAGUGAUUGACCGAGGAAGGAACACACCGAGUGCCGCGGGAAUCGCUUCUCCUCUUUGGAUCAAGAAGCUGGUCUGCUGGGCUCUCUGAAGAGCUGAGCUCGAGCUGAAUUUGGGAGAAUCAGUCAGACUUGGUCAAAAGGAUGAGCUGGGGAAGCUUGAGAGCACCUUUAAGGAGCAGCAAGCACGGCCUGAGACUAGGGCCCUCGAGGGUCCCAGAGACAGACAGGGAGAGGCCCACGGUGCUAAACCAGAGUGCUCUGCCCACACUGCUCUCACUGGGGUCCACCAUCAGCUAGCGCCCAGUCCAGGGGCCAUUCUCCAGCCCAUUUUUUAACCCACUUCCUUCUCUCUCUUUUUUUUUUUCGGCUGCGCCGCGUGGCUUGCGGGAUUUCAAUUCCCCAACCAGGGAUUGAACCCCAGGCCCAUGACAGUGAAAGCCCAACUCCUAGCCACUGGACCACCAGGGAACUCCCACCCCCUCCUUUCUCUUAAAAGAUCCUGUCUUGGAAUAAAGACACAGACGUAGAGAAUGGACUUGAGGACACGGGGAGGGGGAAGGGUAAGCUGGGAUGAAGUAAGAGAGUGGCAUUGACAUAUAUACACUACCAAAUGUAAAAGAGAUAGCUAGUGGGAAGCAGCCUCAUAGCACAGGGAGAUCAGCUCGGUGCUUU